GAACUGCGAUAAGUAAUGUGAAUUGCAGAAUUCAGUGAAUCAUCGAGUCUUUGAACGCACAUUGCGCCCCCUGGCAUUCCGGGGGGCAUGCCUGUCCGAGCGUCAUUGCUGCCCAUCAAGCCCGGCUUGUGUGUUGGGUCGUCGUCCCCCCCGGGGGGCGGGCCCGAAAGGCAGCGGCGGCACCGUGUCCGGUCCUCGAGCGUAUGGGGCUUUGUCACCCGCUCGACUAGGGCCGGCCGGGCGCCAGCCGACGUCUCCAACCAUUUUUCUUCAGGUUGACCUCGGAUCAGGUAGGGAUACCCGCUGAACUUAAGC
rnacentral:misc_RNA from 1 species